rnacentral:rRNA from 1 species
UACGUAGGGGGCUAGCGUUGUCCGGAAUCAUUGGGCGUAAAGCGCGCGUAGGCGGCCAGAUAAGUCCGGUGUGAAAGUCACAGGCUCAACCUGUGAAUGCCGCUGGAAACUGUCUGGCUUGAGUCCGGAAGGGGCGAGUGGAAUUCCUGGUGUAGCGGUGAAAUGCGCAGAUAUCAGGAGGAACACCAAUGGCGAAGGCAGCUCGCUGGAACGGUACUGACGCUGAGGCGACGAAAGCGUGGGGAGCGAACAGG